GUGGGGAAUCUUGCGCAAUGGGCGAAAGCCUGACGCAGCCAUGCCGCGUGGAUGAUGAAGGUCUUAGGAUUGUAAAAUUCUUUCACCGGGGACGAUAAUGACGGUACCCGGAGAAGAAGCCCCGGCUAACUUCGUGCCAGCAGCCGCGGUAAUACGAAGGGGGCUAGCGUUGCUCGGAAUUACUGGGCGUAAAGGGCGCGUAGGCGGACAGUUUAGUCAGAGGUGAAAGCCCAGGGCUCAACCUUGGGAUUGCCUUUGAUACUGGCUGUCUUGAGUACGGGAGAGGUGAGUGGAACUCCGAGUGUAGAGGUGAAAUUCGUAGAUAUUCGGAAGAACACCAGUGGCGAAGGCGACUCACUGGCCCGUUACUGACGCUGAGGCGCGAAAGCGUGGGGAGCAAACAGGAUUAGAAACCCUUGUAGUCC
rnacentral:rRNA from 1 species